UGCAUUCUCAUGGAUACUAGGUCGGUUUUGCCCAAAAGCCCUGCUCAGUCUCUGGGGUCAAGCUGGGUCUGACAGGAACUCGUGGGGACUUCGUGGGACAAGGGACCCUCCACAAUGGUCAGGAGACCCACAAGCCACAUGGGCGUGGACAGCAAAAAGGACACCAACCCGGGGCAAUUCACCCCACCCCUGAGGAGGGCAGAGCAGGCUGAGUGCCCCCCUGUGAACAGCCUGCACGGCCCCUCAAUUGGGAAUCAAGGCGACAGGAGCUCGGCUUCCACUCAGCAACCUGAAAUCAUCGCUCUAGAAACUGAGGCUCAGAGGGGACCACAGACUUCACCCUGAAAAGGCCGCAAGCGCAGGAAGGCGUUUGAGCGAUUACUCGGCUCCGGGCGCCCAGCAAAGUGCUUUCAAGGAAAUCUCACUUAAGCCGUGCGGGGACCCCAGGAGUGGGGCUCCUCCCUAUCCCACCUCGCAGAGCUGGAAACCUGGGUUCAGAGAGGUGCAGUGACUCUCGGCAGGGCACCCCGCUGAGGCGGAGGCGCUGGGAAGCCGCGCUCCCCCCGGGGCCCGGGCGCCG
rnacentral:lncRNA from 1 species